rnacentral:tRNA from 1 species
GUGUGGCUCAGUGGUAGAGCACUUGCCUAGAAUGUGUGAGACACUGGGUUCAAUCCCCAGCAACA